rnacentral:lncRNA from 1 species
UUUUUAUUGGCCCCAUUAAAGGCAGUUGUCUGUGCAGGGAUUGAUUUCAGGGGAGCAGGCAGUUAAUUCAUUCUCCAAAUGCGAGUCUGUGUGUACAUAAAACCCAGCCUGUGUCUCUGCAGGCCCAGCCUGCCUCUCCCAGCCCCUCUCCUCACCCUCCUCCUGCCCCCAGGGAUGAAACGACACCUGUCUUUCAUUAAACACCUCUGGAACGAGCUGCUCAGCAGGCAGUGUGUAUUCAGCCACCAUCAAUAUUUCAUACAGCCCUAAUAGAUGUUAUCACAGAUCCUCCAUCCAGUGUUUAUUGUGCCAUAAUCAGUGAUCCAUCACACCAGGGCUGUCCGUCCCUCUGUGCCUGUCCCACCUCUCCCAGGAACACGGGUGAGGUGCCACAGUAAAUCUGAAUAAAUCCCUGGAGCUGUUUGUGACCUCAGGCACCCUCAGGCCCGUGAGAACGACACAAAUCUGCUUGCAAAAGGCGUUUUUUGUUUUUAUGAGAGCGUUUGGAGGCGAGCUGGCUCGGUGUAAAUCUGGGGCUUGGGGCCAUUAGGAAGCUGCAGAGGCUGGAGUUGUGGGGCUGUGUCUCCAAGUCUGGGGGUGUUGGUGUGAAACAGAAAACAUUUGCUGAUGUACAGGAGCCUGAAAUAAGCAGGCAAGCUUGGGGGCUGCUGACACUUGAAUAAAUCCCAGUGUCCUGGUAUUUGGUUAAACUCCAAUCUGAAUAUUUGUGUUUUUUUACAACAAUCCUUUGCCUCAGGGAGCAAUUUGCAGAGCUGAACAAUCCAGGACCUUUUUUCUUUCUUUUUUUUUUUUUUUUCUUUUCCAGCCUGGUGUUUGCAGCCUCCAGGAAACGCAAAGCCUUGAGAAGUCUGGAUCCUGCAAUCCUUCUGCCCCUGCAAAGAGCUCCCAGAUGCACAGAGUGUGCCCUGAGUGUGCCCCAGCUCCUGAAACUCCAGGGGAGCCAGAGCAUCCAUCCCAUGGCACAGCAGCUCCCUGGAGCAGGGAGUGGAGCCCCACAUUGUGCCUGGGGAGGGAAUGGAUGAUCCUCCCUCCCAGAAGGGAGCAGAGGAGCCUGGCUGCUCUCCAGCAGGGAGUCACAUUGGGUAGGUCUGACUAAAUCCUCGGGUAGACAUUUGCUUUGGACAAAAAACGGCUUUUUCCCCCUUCAGAGCAGCUAUUCCAGUUUGGCAAAGAUUGGAAAUGUCGUUUUAUUCUGCCUAAACAAAGCUGUUCCCCCAUGUGUGCCUGAGCCCCGGGAAGUCUCCCUGCAAGGACCUGCAGCUGUUGCUGUGACCUGGGCAGACCUGCAGGGACAUUGCACAGGCCCAGCCAGCCUCUCCUGGAUCCCAGAUCCUGAACAGCCUCUCCUGGAUCCCAGACCCUGAACAGCCUCUCCUGGAUCCCAGAUCCUGGAAAAUCCUCUCCUGGAUCCCAGAUCCUGAACAGCCUCUCCUGGAUCCCAGACCAUGGAGAAU